rnacentral:lncRNA from 1 species
UGAGAGAGAACGUAAGGAAGAAAAAAAAAAGAGAGAAGGAACUGCUUAGAAAGGGAGAGAAGAAGAGAGGAAGAAGAAAAGAAAAAGGGAGAAGCUCAGCGAACCACGUUUUUCAACGAUUUUUCACACGGUAAUCUUACUUUUCUUUGUUAUCCUUUAUGUAUUUAUUUAGCUUAGAUAAUCGUUAAAAUGCUCUAGGAUUAAUUAUUACACUCUAUCAUGUUAAAAUUUCAAAAUACCACGAAAAUAUGGUACAAGAAAGUCAUCUUAGGAUCAUAUAUUAAGUAUGAAACUUUGUCAUAUUUUUGUUUCAAAAUUAUAGUUAGUAUUUUGGGCAAAACUCCCUCAUACAAAAAUCUUUUGAGUUGAUUCAAGUAUCGUAUAAUAACUAUUUCAAAUACCUACAAUUUUACUUCAAAUAAUAUUUUUUUAAUUUUGAGAUUAAGACACCAAAACAGGCUUGGAAGUCACGACAGAAAAACAGAAUCUGUCGUUUUUUUCAUCUGGACCGGUCGGGCUUUUCCCCGACCGAUAGAGAAAAUAUGAGUUAAGAUCAAACAUGUCCCCGACCAGUCAAAGUUUUACAGAUCCCAACUUUUAACCAUUGAACCUUCAAUUGUUGACACAAUUCUAUGUCAACAGAUUUAUUUUCAUUGAAAGAAUUUAAGCCAAAGUCGUAAACCUUACAUUUCUUUUUGUAAAAGUCAUAAACCUUACCUUUCUUUUUACUUUAAAUUUACAAUAUAAAUAAGAAAAUACAUAUCAUUUGGAUUCAAUAAAAAAUACAAGAAACUGUAAUUCUCACUAAAUCAAAAAAUAAAAUUCAGUUUUAGUACAAAAAUAAUUUUCGAUAAUUAUUUUAAAAAUGAUUCUUCUUGCUAUUGAAGGUAUACAUUGUAAUAAAAAUUUUAUAAAAUUAAUUUUGACUAUUCAAUGUAUAAAAAACAAUUAUCGAAAAAAAUAAUUAAAAUUUUAAUUUUUCAAAAUUUUAUUUUUCACACUUAGUCAACAUUUGACGAAAAACAGUUUUUCAAAAAAAAUUAUCAUGUAAAUCUCUUUUGAGAGUCUCACUUCACCGUAAACUUUUCCAAUCAUAGUCUUUAAUACUAUUCAUUGAAAUAAAUAAAACGUCUAGGAAUCGAUUCAGCUUUCUUAAGUAAUGCGACGAAUGAGAAUAACACAAUACACACGCAAACAGAUAAGUAACCUUAAUCUUUAAAGUAGAGUAAAUUACUCUUCUAUGCUAUGAUAUACACAUAAAUUAUGUUAUGAUAUGCAAAUCAAAUUUAUAGAUUAGAUAAGAAUCUUUCAAAAAAAUUUGUAUGUAUAUGCUUAUGCACCUCAUGUUUUUACCUUUCGGAAAGGUAUUCGGCACUGGCGUACCUCGACCUAAGAGGGCGUGGAUCUGUAUGAUACCUAGAGCUGCAAAUUUGGGCCGGGCCCACGAGCACGCCCAAGUGCCGACCUGUUACUGUAGUAGGCCAGCUAAGUUCGGCCCGUGAAGAAACCCGACUGACCCGUGGCCCAUUACUUAUCGAUUGCGUGUUGGGCAUAAUUUUUCAAGCCCGAUCCUCUAAUAAAACUAGCCCAUUUCAACCCGUUAACCAAUCCGCCAAAGUAGCUCAUCCCAACUGGCCCAAUAGCCCGUUUGUUGGGCCCGUUUUCAAGCCCGUCACUGUAGCAAAACUUUUAAAUGGUUGAGUGUGGUAUGAAUCGAACUCGACCUCCCACCCUAAAUGCAAAUGCUCAACUACUUGGACCAACCACUUAUUUGGUUGUACAAGCGUCAUAUAUAUUAUAUAAAUACUUAAUUCCAAAGCUACAAAAAAUAAUCUUGCUCAACUACUUGGACCAACCACUUAUUUGGUUGUACAAGCGUCAUAUAUAUUAUAUAAAUACUUAAUUCUAGAGCUACAAAAAAAAAAGAAAAUGUGUUGCCUUGGAAUCGAACUCGCAAACUCUCGACCCAAACGCGGACACCCAACUACAGCACCAACCACUCAGUCGCUGAUAAAAAUAGAAUAUUUAAUAUAUAAACACAUAUUACACGUGUCAACAAACUACUUUAUCUCACGCCCAAUGACUCUUUUGUUACUUUUUGAAUUUCUUGAACUUUUUUACCUCCCAAUUGCUAUAUAACGGCUACUUUUGGGUAUAAAAUGAUAAUUAGAGUAUAAAUGACCUAAAUACUCCUCUCCAACGACUAUAAACAACUAAUCUUUUUAGGUAUUUUGGUCCAAUUAGCCUAUAAAAAAAUGUAUAAAUACAUCUACUCCUCCACACUUCUUCCUCACUCAAUUCUUACUCAAUCUACUAAUUCUCUACAAUUCUCUCAAUACUUGCUCAAUACUCUCUCAAUAAGUUCUAGUUAUUCAACUGCUCGGCAUUUCUCAAGUGUUGAAAAAGUAUUACAGAAGUGUUGAAUCCCGAUGUUUCAAACUCUUCGGACUUGAGGUAUCUUAAUAUCAAUAUAUUUUUU